rnacentral:rRNA from 1 species
UGGGGAAUAUUGGACAAUGGGCGAAAGCCUGAUCCAGCCAUGCCGCGUGUGUGAAGAAGGUCUUCGGAUUGUAAAGCACUUUAAGUUGGGAGGAAGGGCAGUAAGCGAAUACCUUGCUGUUUUGACGUUACCGACAGAAUAAGCACCGGCUAACUCUGUGCCAGCAGCCGCGGUAAUACAGAGGGUGCAAGCGUUAAUCGGAAUUACUGGGCGUAAAGCGCGCGUAGGUGGUUCGUUAAGUUGAAUGUGAAAGCCCCGGGCUCAACCUGGGAACUGCAUCCAAAACUGGCGAGCUAGAGUAGGGCAGAGGGUGGUGGAAUUUCCUGUGUAGCGGUGAAAUGCGUAGAUAUUGGAAGGAACACCAGUGGCGAAGGCGACCACCUGGGCUCAUACUGACACCGAGGUGCGAAAGCGUGGGGAGCAAACAGG